AUUGAACGCUGGCGGCAGGCUUAACACAUGCAAGUCGAGCGGGGAAGGGUAGCUUGCUACCUGACCUAGCGGCGGACGGGUGAGUAAUGCUUAGGAAUCUGCCUAUUAGUGGGGGACAACAUUCCGAAAGGAAUGCUAAUACCGCAUACGCCCUACGGGGGAAAGCAGGGGAUCUUCGGACCUUGCGCUAAUAGAUGAGCCUAAGUCAGAUUAGCUAGUUGGUGGGGUAAAGGCCUACCAAGGCGACGAUCUGUAGCGGGUCUGAGAGGAUGAUCCGCCACACUGGGACUGAGACACGGCCCAGACUCCUACGGGAGGCAGCAGUGGGGAAUAUUGGACAAUGGGCGAAAGCCUGAUCCAGCCAUGCCGCGUGUGUGAAGAAGGCCUUUUGGUUGUAAAGCACUUUAAGCGAGGAGGAGGCUACUUAGAUUAAUACUCUAGGAUAGUGGACGUUACUCGCAGAAUAAGCACCGGCUAACUCUGUGCCAGCAGCCGCCGUAACAC
rnacentral:rRNA from 1 species